AUAUCAUAUAGUUGAUAAAAGAUUAAAAAUACAAUUAAAAAAAUAAUCUACGUGAUUAUCUCAUUAGAUUAUUUGUUAACGGAUAUUGUUAAGAAAUUUUGACCACUCAAAAUUUAAAUCCUAAAAAAGGAAAUUAAAAAGUUUGCUAAUAGUUGAUAUGGAAAAGGGUCUCUUAGAUAAGGACUCAGGCAGAGAAUCCUUCAGCUUCAGCCACAACAUGGACUGUAUUUUCUCUAGAAAUGAAAAGAGUCGGUUAUCUUGUAGGGCCUAUGAUUACUGUCACUUUGUCACAGUAUUUUUUACAGAUAAUUUCAAUGGUGAUGGUUGGUCACUUGGGUAAACUUGCUCUCUCUAGCACAGCCAUUGCCAUCUCUCUCUGUGCUGUAUCUGGCUUCAGCCUUAUUUUUGCAAUGUCAUGUGCACUGGAAACUCAAUGUGGGCAAGCAUACGGAGCACAUCAAUAUCGAAAAUUUGGUGUUCAAAUGUACACUGCUAUUGUCUCUCUUACUUUAGCCUGUCUUCCUUUGAGUCCUUUGUGGGUAUACUUGGGGAAGAUACUCAUUUUUCUUGGCCAAGACCCUUUGAUUUCUCAAGAAGCUGGAAAAUUUGCUUUGUGCAUGACCCCUGCUCUCUUUGAUUAUGCAACACUUCAGGCCUUGGUUCGAUACUUUCUGAUGCAAAGUUUGACCCCCCUUGUCAUAAGUUCCUCCAUUACUCUUUGCUUCCAUGUAGCUUUCUGUUGGCUACUGGUUUUUAAAUUUGGAUUUGGUAACUUAGGAGCAGCAUUUUUUAUUGGUACUUCAUACUGGCUGAACGUGAUUUUACUUGUAUUAUACAUGAAAUUCUCUAUUGAAUGUAAAAAGACUUGGGUACCAAUUUCAACGGAACUAUUCCAUGGCAUUGGGGAGUUCUUCCGCUGUGCUAUUCCUUCAGCUGGAAUGAUUUGCCUUGAAUGGUGGUCAUUUGAGUUACUAUUCUUGCUUUCUGGUCUUCUACCAAAUCCAGAACUUGAAACUUCAGUCUUAUCCAUAUGUUUAUCAGUCACCACAACAAUCUACACAAUCCCAGAAGCAAUUGGCUCAGCAGCAAGCACUAGAGUUUCAAAUGCAUUAGGUGGUGGAAGUCCACAAUUGGCACAAGUGUCUGUUUCUGCUGCUAUGACUCUUGCAGCAUCCGCGGCCAUUCUGGUGAGCUCAAUCAUAUUUGCUUGCAGGCAGGUUGUAGGUUAUGCAUUUAGCAAUGAGCUGGACGUGGUGGAUUAUUUCACAGAAAUGGUUCCUCUUUUAAGUAUAUCUGUUAUACUGGACACCUUACAUGAUACCCUCUCAGGUAUUGCUAGAGGAUGUGGGUGGCAGCACAGAGGAGCAUAUGUAAACCUUGACGCUUAUUAUGUUGUGGGAAUUCCAAUUGCUGCUAUAUUGGGUUUCUGCCUACAAUUAAGAGGAAAAGGCCUUUGGAUUGGAAUACUGACUGGUGCCUUCUGCCAAACAGUUAUGGUAUCCCUCAUUACAAGUUGUACAAACUGGGAAAAACAGGUUUGCCUCCACUUCCAAGUCCAUGCUUUGCACUUGGCACAGUCCUAAAACACCAUGUUCACAAUGUUAUAUUUUCUCAUAUAUCAAACCAAACCCUUUGAAUUGAAUGUUUAAACUAGAGAAAUUGUUUUGACAGUCAAAGAAAAGUAGUAUCUUAACUCAUGCAAUCUUAUUAAGAUUCAGUUUUGGACAUGCACUACUAGCCUGUUUUUUUAGAGAACACAUGUACUACUGACUGAAAUGUACUCAUUGCUCAAGUGUCCUGAGAAAGGCAAUUAAAGCAUGGGAAAGGAUAUUUCAGAGAAAUUUUGCUGUAGAAGAUGGAUUAGUUUUAGCAAAUGGAGAAGAUUCCUUAAAUCUGUCAGCUUCUUUUGUUGGUAUUGGUAAAUCGUUUAGCUUUGGUGGCAGAAAAGAUCAAAUUUUAGAGUUAGAGGAGGAAAAGGUUCUCAUGACAAGACAUUUGUAAUGAUAUUGAUUUGUUCUUUUUUCUCAAUCCAAUUUUGGUUAAGGUUCUGUAACGUGAAGUAAAAGCAAUUGGAUUAAUUCACGAGCAGCACUUCAAUUUCCAAUAA